rnacentral:tRNA from 1 species
GUAGGAUAGCUCAGUUGGGAGAGCGUCAGAUUGAAGAUCUGGAGGUCACGUGUUCGAUCCACGUUCACCGCA